rnacentral:rRNA from 1 species
GAUGAACGCUGGCGGCGUGCCUAAUACAUGCAAGUCGAACGAACAGACGAGGAGCUUGCUUCUGGGACGAUAGCGGCGGUCGGGGGAGUAGCACGGGGAUAACCUACCUAUAAGACUGGGAUAACCACGGGAAUCCCGGGUUAAUACGGGAUAAAAUACUGAACCACACGGUUGAAUAGUGAAAGACGGUUUUGCAGUCUCUGAUAGAUGGAUCCGCGCCGCAUUAGCUAGUUGGUAAGGUAACGGCUUACCAAGGCAACGAUGAGUAGCCGACCUGAGAGGGUGAACGGCCACACGGGAACUGAGACACGGUCCAGACUCCUACGGGAGGCAGCAGUAGGGAAUCUUCCGCAAUGGGCGAAAGCCUGACGGAGCAACGCCGCGUGAGUGAUGAAGGUCUUCGGAUCGUAAAACUCUGUUAUUAGGGAAGAACAAAUGUGUAAGUAACUAUGCACGUCUUGACGGUACCUAAUCAGAAAGCCACGGCUAACUACGUG